GUUAAAAAGCCCGUAGUUGGAUUUCUGUCCGAGGCAGCCGGUCCGCACCUGGUGCGUGUAUCAGGUUUGACUAGGGCAUCCUCUUGGGGAACGUUUCUGUGCUUCAUUGCAUGGGACGGAAUUCAAGACUUUUACUUUGAGGAAAUUAGAGUGUUCACGGCAAGCUAUCGCUUUGAAUACAUUAGCAUGGAAUAAUAAUAUAGGGCGUAAGUCUUAUUUUGUUGGUUUCUAGGACAUACGCAAUGAUUAAUAGGGACAAUUGGGGGCAUUCGUAUUAACGCGUCAGAGGUGGAAUUCUUAGAUUGCGUUACGACGAACUACUGCGAAAGCAUUUGCCAAGGAUGUUUUCAUUGAUCAAGAACGAAAGUAUGGGGAUCGAAGACGAUUAGAUACCGUCGUAGUCUAUACCAUAAACUAUGCCAAUUAGAGAUUGGAGGUCGUUCGUUUUAUGACUCCUUCAGCACCUUAUGAGAAAUCAAAAUUUUUGGGUUCCGGGGGGAGUAUGGUCGCAAGGCUGAAACUUAAAGGAAUUGACGGGAGGGCACCACAGGAGUGGAGCCUGCGGCUUAAUUUGACUCAACACGGGAAAACUUACCAGGUCCAGACAUAGUAAGGAUUGACAGAUUGAUAGCUCUU
rnacentral:rRNA from 1 species